rnacentral:lncRNA from 1 species
GCUCUAUACAAGGUGAAGCUAUAUAAAGGCCUGGAGUUAAGAUGGGGGAGGAUGGAGGAAGUGGCAGGAAAGGGCAAUGCACAAAUGCACAUAAAUAUUGCACAUUUCCACAAAACAUUUCACAAUGGACCAUGAGCGCACCAGGUAGACUCCAGAUGGGGAAAAAAAAUGUUACCCUGUGACUGGAACAAUAAUAAAGGUGCCUGCAAAAUACUAUCGAACCAGAGAAAAGAAUUUGAGAGGUUUCCAGAUGCAUAGUAUCCAUGAACUUGUGAAGAAGUGUUGAGUUUGUGCUUUAAAGGUUAGUUCAAUCUAGCUUCAGUCUUUGAUCCUCCAUUAUUCAUCUCAUUCCCUUGUCUUUUGGUAAUAGAGCCUCCCGUAACACUUCAUGCUUUGAAUAUAGCCCUUGCUGCUCUGCCACAUUGACUUAUUAUUAUUUUUUUUAAUUUUUUGGUACCAGGGAUUAAACUCAGGGGAAUCAACCACUGAGCCACAUCCCCAGCCAUCCUCUUCCUCCUCCUCUUCCUCUUUUUUUUUUUGGAGAUAGGAUCUUGUUAAGUUGCUUAGGGCCUUGUUAAGUUGCUGAGGCUGACUUCAAAUACAUGAUCCUCCUGCCUCAGCUUCCUGAGCUGUUGGGAUUACAGGUGUGUACCACCACAGCCACACACAGACUUAUUUUUUAAAUAGACAUGUUUUUUUUUUUUCUCUCCCCUUCCCUAGUUUUCCCUUCCCUGAUCUCAGGGGAAACAGGAUUACUCUUCCUCUCUAUCCUAGGCCCAGUUUUCUGUCUUUGAGCAUACCUUUAAUCAUAGGAAUAAAGUAAUUCAGACUUGGGGGAUGGCUCAAGAAGAUCUAAGAAAUCUCCCAAAUUAACAAGUGAAUUCUCUCUCUCUCUCUCUCUCUCUCUCUCUCUCUCUCUCUCUCUCUCACACACACACACACACACACACACACACACACACACACAUACACACUCACACACACACACACACACACACACACACACCCAUCAGACAUACCUGGAAUGUAGCCUCUGGGACAAGAGUCCCCUCUGUUUUUUCCCUUUUUUCUUAAAACUGUGUCCUCAUUACUGGAGUGGCAUUGGGGACAAGGACCAAUUUUUGGUACCACUCUUAUUUUACUUUAGGGAUGAGCCUCCUUCACUCACUGUGAUUCUGCUAGGUUUAAGUCCCCCACCCCAGGAUAUGUGCAAGACAAUGGCCAGCCAAUCAGAGUCUCCUCUUCCCUGAACUGUGACCCAACAGGCCAAUCAGAGACCUUUUGAGGAAGGUCUUUCUCUGAGCCAUUUCCUCCACAGCAGUGGAGAAUUGGACCAUUCUUGCAGAUAAGAGGAGUCUUCUCCUAUGUAAUGUUUUGAACAACUAAUAAUUAAAAAAAAAAAAAAAGAGGAGUCCUCUCAAGGCUGAAGUUAUCACAGAGGAAAGUGGACCUGAGAUACAGAUAGGGAGUGGAUGCAAUGAGUGAUGGAUGCAGCCAGCCUUAAGCCCUUAGGGGUUCCUGUUAUAUAAGCUGAUAUGUCAUGUUUUUAUUUAAGCAUAUUUUAAUUGAAUUUCUUUCAUAUGGAAAAAAAAGCCCUAAUAUAUUAUCUUUUUGAACUUGGGCAAGUUAUUUAUCCUCCAGCUUCAGAUUCUUCAACUAUUAAAUUGGGGAGAAUAAGAUCUCCAUUCUAAGUAGCUGUAAGAUUUAAAUGAGAUAACAUGCAUAUACAUUCAAUAUAUGAUUACUAUUAGUGAUAUAGUGAUUAUAUUUUUGGGAGACACAGACAGGAUUUAUUUGCUCUGCAAAUAUUGCAUGGUGCACACAUGCAUUCAGAGGCUUCCUGCUGUGAUGGGCUCUCCAAAGAUCUGCAGUUAUUAAUUGGAAAUCACUGUUCCAGAGGUUACCUUUUGAGUAGGGCAACCUUUAUUUUCCUGUCCCCUUCCAGUCUAUGUGUAUUCUUCCUUUAAGAGAAAGUUUGGUGUUAUAGUUUUCUCCACCAUGUUCCCAUCUAAUUGGCCUAGAUUCAGGUUACUUCCAAGCAGAUUCCCCAUCCCUUAUUUUGCUAAUAAUCAAACUUGCUUAGGAGGCAUGGUGUUUGGAAGUUGUACAUGAACGCUUAUUUCUGUUACAAAACUGGAAACACCCUUAACAAGAGGAACUAUGGCUGCUGAUUAUUCACGUGGAAUAUAAUCACAAUGACCCACACACAUUUCUUGGAGGAAAAAAUGUCAACCAGUGCAUGGCAGCUGGUUGAAUUUUUCCUUUAAUGUUCCCUUGCUACUUAUUAAUUCACUUUGUUGCUUGUGAGCUCCUAAGAGGAGAGAGAGACUGGCAGGAGCUAAAAAGUUUAAGCUGUUUUUUGUAAAAAAAAAUAGUAAAAGUAAAAUAAUGUCUAUAAGCUUGUUUUAGGCAAAUUUAGGUAAUUUCCUGGGAACCACUCUCCCAGUAUAGUGACCUAAUUCCCAAUUUGUAUUUUUUUCAAAUUCAUUGUUAAAUACCCAGUGAUAUUGCAGCCUCCCAGUUGCCCUCUCUGAAAUACCCUUACCAGCAUGUCCAUCAGAAUUGUAGAGAUGAAAAUAGUCUCCUAUGCUAUCUGAUAUGGUGGCCAUUAGCCAUGUGACUAUUGAGCCCUUGAUGUGUGGCUAGUGUGACUUAGAAGUUGACUAUAAAUUUUUAAUUUGCAUGAAUUUAUAUUUGCAAAACAUAUUAUACAUAAAUAUUACAUACUUUUUUUAAUACUAGAGAUUGAACCCAGGGCACUUUACCACUGAGCUACAUCCUGAGUCCUUUUUAUCUUUCAUUUUGAGACAGGAUCUCACUGAGUUGCUGAGGCUGGCUUUGAACUUGUGAUCUUCCUGCCUCAGCCUCCUGAGUCCCUGGGAUUAUAGGUGUGCAUCACUGCCUGGUGCAGCAUGGGCUUUAAAGGUAAAUCUCACUGUCUUGAAAUUGUCCUUAAGCCAUGUGGAUCCUUGACUAGCUUGGUGCCUUCAGACAGCCUUCCUCCUAGGAUAUUUCAGGUGAUGAGACUCUUUCCAGUUUCAAAUGGCCUCUAGAGAAAGAAAUUUCACUAACCUGUUUUGGUGUUUAGUCCUUUCUUCUGGAGGUCCCUACGGGAGGUAGCAGAUUCAAAACUGGCAUGAGUCAGAUCUGGGCACAGAUCUCAGCUUCAGAUGGCACAAUCUCUUUACAUUUUAUGGGGCAAAUACUUAGCACAUGUCUCUCUUUUGUAACAAAUCACAUGGUGAGAAUGAAGGAAUGGUUUAAAAUUCACUCAGUAAUAUUUCUGAGUCAUCCCUAAGGGCAGGGCAUGGUGCUAGGCACUGGGAGAAAGGGAGCAGGAGCAGGGUAGAGAGGAAGGAGACAUGAUUCUUUCCUUGUCAGGACUCCUGAUCUAAUUAAGAAGGUGGCUGAAUCACCACAGUGGUGGCAUUUCUUUUCAGUAGGCUGCAAUUCCAGGUGAUCACUAGAAGAGUGGGUCCAAAUUGUGUAACCUCCAAACCAGGGAUCAUCACAUACUACGAGAGAAUUACUGGCCCCAAUUUCUCUCCCCUCCUGGCAUCCAUGGUCUCCAUGUAGUGGGAAUGUCCUUUCCUGUCCUCUGGCUUUGGGCUUGCUUUGACCCUUCAAAUAAAGUACAAAAGGCCUGCUGAAGUUUUGCUGGCCCUUGUGUGUUUUUGCAUUCACCAGGAGAAGUACAUCUCUCAGGCAGCUAUGGCAUCUCCAGCCUGGACUGCAGAAUGAGCACACUUGGAACAGAGAUGCAGGGAGAGAUACCGCUCAGUGGUUAGCAUAGCAUUAGAGAAGUAUCUAUAUUAGACAGCUACAGGAUUCUGCUGCAGGGAUCCUUAUUCCAAUGUGGCGUUUCGGUAGCAAUCCUUAUUCCAAUGUGGAGUUUCGGUAGCAACCGCUAAUCCAUUCCUUUAUUAGGUUGUUGGUCCAGCUGCUACAAGUGACACCCAGCCCAAUAGUGGGUUAAGAAUGUUCUCUGAGUUGUCAUGUAAUAAAGCCAAUAAAGAAGUCUGGUGUUUCCUACACACACCAUCAUGUAGAAAAGACAGUAGAAUGAAUUGGACAUAACUUUUCUAUGCUCAUAUGUGACAUAUGACUAAUGUAACUCUACAUCAUGUACUCCACAUCAAGAAUGGGAUCCUAGGCCUGGGGUUGUGGCUCAGUGGUACAGCGCUUGCCUAGCAUGUGUGAGUCACUGGGUUUGAUUCUCAGCACCACAUAUAAAUAAAUAAAAUAAAGGUCCAUUGACAGCUAAAAAAUAUUUAAAAAAAAAAAGAAUGGGAUCCUAAUGAGAGUAAGUUGUACUGCAUGUAUGUAUGUCAAAAGACACACCACACUUCUUCUGUCAUGUAUGACUAAAAAUAAAUAAUAAAGAAUUAAAAAAAGACACUCCACUGUCAUGUAUAUCUAAAAAGAAUAAAUACAAAUAAUAAUAAAAAGUCUGGUGGUUCAUAUGUCAGAGACCCAGGCUCUAUCUAUCUUCUUGCUCCACCUUCCUCAGGGUAUGGCCCUCAUCUACAUGAAGCCCUCUUAGUAUUUCCAGUCGAGAAGCCCCUUGAGGAAAGAGAUUCUGUCCUAGUCAGCUCUUAACCCCAAUACCAGAAACGGUGUCUGACUUAUAACCCAGACUUAGCUCAAGCUACAUCUUUUUCAUGGGUUCUCCUUAGAUGAACUUUCCCUCCCUGAACCCACACCUCCUUUCUGUAUAGUUUUUGCCCAAUAGUACAUUGGCCCAUUUCAUCAUCAUCUUUUUUUUUUUUUUUUUUUUUUUUUGGUACCAGGGAUUGAACCCAGGGGUGCUUAACCACUGAGCCACAUCCCUAGCCCUUUUUAUACUUUUUAUUUUUUAAUUUAGAGACAAGAUCUUGCUGAGUUGCUUGGGGCCUUGCAAAAUUAUUGAGGCUGGCUGUGAAUUCACAAUCCUCCUGCUUCAGCCUCUCGAGCUGCUGGGGUUGCAGGUGAAUGCCACCUCGCCCAGCUCCAUCACCUUCUUCUUGUAUGUUUUAUUCCCCAGGCUGAGGAUCAAACUCAGGAGUACUCUAGAGAACUCUGUGAGGAUGGCCUUAGGCCUGAGCCUAAGCAACUCAUUUUAAAAACUCCAGUUUGAAAUCUGCAGUCUCAUCAGGCAGCCUAAUGGAGCUUCCAGGAUGGCCCUCAGGCCCCCACCUCAAUAAACUCAGAGUGAAGCCUCUGGCAGAAGAGGGAAAGGUGCCCUAUAAUUGGGAAAGGCGAAAAGAUCCACCAGAUGUUUUGUUUUUAAAUAUUUAUGUUUUAGUUGUAGUUGGACACAAUAUCUUUAUCUAUUUCCAUGUGGGGCUGAGGAUCGAACUCAUGGCCUCACAUGUGCUAGGCAAGCACUCUACUGCUAAGCCACAACUGCAGCCCCCAAACCAGAAGUUUUAAUCCCAGAGUAAAUGAUGUCACUGAGAAAUCCAGUGGCAGCUGAUAAGGAUUGAAAGGGGGGUCGAAAGCCCCCAAAUAUAGUAUAAAUAAUAGAGCAAAUGAACAGACAUUUAUCCAGCCAAUACUGAUACACAGAAGCUGGAGAGCUUGAUGAGGACCUGGACUGACAUCCCAUCACUUGUCAUUGUUUGCCUGAUCCUCUGCAGGUCUCACCGCUCUCAAACUCUACAGCCACAUCUUGACCCUGGUGAGAGUUGCAACUUCUCCCUACAACCCUCUCCUCAACCUCAACUAGCAGUCAGCUCCACCCCAGAAGCCUGCCUUGGUUCCUGAUCUGAUCACCAUGGUCUGAGUGAGUGUGCAUCUGCUGGACUUAAAAGUCUAAGGCUUGAGACUUUUGAUCUGACACCCCCACCCCCCGCGCCUGCCAGGUAGGCGGAACUGUGACCACCGACAGAAAAAGCCCAGUGGCCCGCGGAGGGGCAGAGCUGCCAACCACUCCUGCAAGGUAGUCGGGCCUGCGACCCACUGGCAGAACAGGCACAGCGGCCUGCUGAGAGGCAGAGCCGCCCCCUCCCCCCGCGCCUCCAAGGUAGACGGAACUGUGACCACCAACAGAACAGGCCAGACCUGCAACCGACAGACAGAACAGGCCCAGUGGCCUGAGGAAGGGUAGAGCCACCCCCCCCACGCCUGCAAGGUAGGCGGACCUGCGACCCACAGGCAGAACAGCCCCAGAGGCCUGCAGAGGGGCAGUGCCGCUGCCUGCGCCUGCAAAGUAGGUAGAACUGCGACCACCGACAGAACAAGCCUAGCGGCCCGCAGAGGGACAGAGCUGCCGCCCGCGCCUGCAAGGUAGGCGGAC